UAACUGAGUCACAGUCUUAAAUGAGUCCAGUUCCUCCACAAGAGAAAAGAAAAACCAGAACUCUUUCUUUUCAUCACUGCUGCCAGUAAAUCAUCUUUUAAAUGAAAUUUUUUUUAAAAAAGAAACAAAAUAGUUAUAUAGAUGUGUUAUUCAUUUUCAAUUAGUGAAAACAAACCACCAAAAUCCAAGACUCUUUUAUAUUGCGUAGCUGGAAUCAUUUAACUUGACCCUGAGGGAAAGUAUUAAAAUUUGAUAAAACCAGGCUUUUCUUUUUUUUAAAUUCAGAAAUAAUUUAAGACAAGUAGCAAAUUGUUUUAAAAACCUAUAGUAACUCCUAUUUAUUUUUAAAAACCCUGCAGUUGGGCAGAAGUACCACAUAGUAACAUUCAGAUACAGAAACAUAUUCUCUUAAUCUGAUGGUACAAUUUUUUUCUUCAUAAUCUGGUUCAUUUUACACCAAGGGUUGCUUUAAUAUAAAGCUAUGCAUGCCCCUGAAUCUUGGAUGCAAUUAUAUUUAGGCAGUCACACACCCACACACAUAAAUGGAAAACACCCAUCAAACUGCUUUUUAUUCCUUUUCUUUCCACCAAGAUCAGCUGAAAGAAAACAAAAAGCUCUCUAGCUUUAUUUUUUUCACAUUAUUAAAAAAGAAGAGGAAUUGGUAGGCAAUCUUACUUACACAACUGGCCCCGUGCUUGGCUCCAGGAAGAAUGUAAUCCCUGACUCUAAUGCAAAGAACUUUUAAAGGCUGAGGCAUGGAGCCCUCUAGUGUUCUGUUUGGAAACAGACUGGGAAAUAUCCCAUCUCUUGGCGUGAGAAAGGAUUGAGAGUGCUUAGCAGCAGUGGAAUAAACAUCUCCUGACAGGAAUGCCAUCACCUUCUGUCCAGCCCAGAAGCCAGGAUUAGAGCACCAGGUUUUCCAGGGACUCACCUUUCCAUCCUGGCCGUUGUACAGAGUAACUGUGAGGUCCCACCACUCCUGAGAAGAGAAGGCCUAGAAGUUCAUUAAAAGGUUAGCUUUGGGCCGUGAGUGUACAGAGCAAGUCUGAAGAAGGACAGGAAGCAGCGCUGAUCCAAUCCUUGGGAUCAAAGAUGAGGGCUCCAUGCUCUCCCCAACCCUGGGGCUGUCAUCCAGAAAUCAGGAAAAGCAGAAAGAGUGCUGCCAGGCCCCCACUCUGCCCAGAGCCCAGAAUACCGGCAGGCUCCGGAGAAAAACCUCCAUCCAGGAUCUUGGCUGAUGUGCAACCUGGGCAGCAGAAAACCUAAAAAGCCAGUUCAAGCAUCCACCCAAAGAAAAUGUCUCCUGUUAACACUGGAACACCAUAGGUAGAACAGGGCUCGGUGUAUCUGGGCCAUUUCUCUGACAUUCCCUUGGCUGUGCACCGGUCAGUGGCUGACGCUCCUCCUCAUCACAAGUGGGAGGCUUCCUAAAGCGACUGAUUUCACGUGACUUCUCCUUCGCCUCUCGAUGGUAAAAAGGGACAAGCACCUCACAGCCACCAAACAAAUUUCCUGAGCUUCAUGCAAAAGCCUAUCACCAUGGAUAAAAGGAUGUCAUAUGGGUUUACCCCUUGGUUACACACUAAUUGCUGAAACAAUAACUGUAGUAAAUGACUUUGAAUUGUCCUUGGAGCUGCACAUAAUAUCAGUCCUUAAUAUCCUGGCUGCUACACAGUGGGAAAUCUUUAGAAUGAUGUUGGGUAGACAAACCAAACAUCCAUUAUAAUCAUGGUAGAUUUUUUCCUAUUGUCCGUAUUAAACCGUGGAGCCUGUAACACAGAGACAGUCCUGACCUACCUCUCCCUUUUCAGGUCCCCAACACAUGGCUCUCAUAUAAUCAAGAUUUGACAAUUGCCUGAUGAAAGAGCAAAUAAAAUAAUAGUUGAUUCUCUUCAAAAAUA